AACGAACGCUGGCGGCAUGCCUAACACAUGCAAGUCGAACGAGACCUUCGGGUCUAGUGGCGCACGGGUGCGUAACGCGUGGGAACCUGCCCUUAGGUUCGGAAUAACUCCCCGAAAGGGGUGCUAAUACCGGAUAAUGUCUUCGGACCAAAGAUUUAUCGCCUUUGGAUGGGCCCGCGUUGGAUUAGCUAGUUGGUAGGGUAAAAGCCUACCAAGGCGACGAUCCAUAGCUGGUCUGAGAGGAUGAUCAGCCACACUGGGACUGAGACACGGCCCAGACUCCUACGAGAGGCAGCAGUGGGGAAUAUUGGACAAUGGGCGAAAGCCUGAUCCAGCAAUGCCGCGUGAGUGAUGAAGGCCUUAGGGUUGUAAAGCUCUUUUACCCGGGAUGAUAAUGACAGUACCGGGAGAAUAAGCUCCGGCUAACUCCGCG
rnacentral:rRNA from 1 species